UCGGGAAUUUUGCGCAAUGGACGAAAGUCUGACGCAGCAACGCCGCGUGAGGGAUGACGGCCUUCGGGUUGUAAACCUCUUUGUCAGGGACGAUGAUGACGGUACCUGACGAAUAAGCCACGGCUAACUACGUGCCAGCAGCCGCGGUAAUACGUAGGUGGCAAGCGUUGUCCGGAUUUACUGGGCGUAAAGAGCGCGCAGGCGGUCGUUCAAGUCGCGUGUGAAAGCCCCGGCUCAACUGGGGAGGGUCACGCGAUACUGAUCGACUCGAAGGCAGGAGAGGGUAGUGGAAUUCCCGGUGUAGUGGUGAAAUGCGUAGAUAUCGGGAGGAACACCAGUGGCGAAGGCGACUACCUGGCCUGUUCUUGACGCUGAGGCGCGAAAGCUAGGGGAGCAAACGGGAUUAGAUACCCCGGUAGUCCUAGCCGUAAACGAUGGACACUAGGUGUUGGUGGUAUCAACCCCGCAGUGCCGAAGCUAACGCAUUAAGUGUCCCGCUGGGGAUACGG
rnacentral:rRNA from 1 species